rnacentral:rRNA from 1 species
UACGGAGGGUGCGAGCGUUGUCCGGAAUCACUGGGCGUAAAGGGCGCGUAGGCGGCCUGAUAAGUAGGGGGUGAAAUCCUGCGGCUUAACCGCAGGGCUGCCUUCUAAACUGUCAGGCUUGAGCACAGUAGAGGCAGGUGGAAUUCCCGGUGUAGCGGUGGAAUGCGUAGAGAUCGGGAAGAACAUCAGUGGCGAAGGCGGCCUGCUGGGCUGUUGCUGACGCUGAGGUGCGAAAGCUAGGGUAGCAAACGGG